rnacentral:rRNA from 1 species
GUGGGGAAUAUUGGACAAUGGGCGCAAGCCUGAUCCAGCCAUGCCGCGUGAGUGAUGAAGGCCCUAGGGUUGUAAAGCUCUUUCAACGGUGAAGAUAAUGACGGUAACCGUAGAAGAAGCCCCGGCUAACUUCGUGCCAGCAGCCGCGGUAAUACGAAGGGGGCUAGCGUUGUUCGGAAUUACUGGGCGUAAAGCGCACGUAGGCGGAUCGAUCAGUUAGGGGUGAAAUCCCAGGGCUCAACCCUGGAACUGCCUCUAAUACUGUCGAUCUCGAGUUCGAGAGAGGUGAGUGGAAUUCCGAGUGUAGAGGUGAAAUUCGUAGAUAUUCGGAGGAACACCAGUGGCGAAGGCGGCUCACUGGCUCGAUACUGACGCUGAGGUGCGAAAGCGUGGGGAGCAAACAGGAUUAGAAACCCGUGUAGUCC